GAAUGGAAUCUCCAUAUACCAAAAAGUAUCAUCAAAAAACCUUAAAUAGGUGGCGCUACAAUACCUAGAAUACUUGAAAAAAAAAUCAAAUCAUAGACAGCGCACUUCACUCCGUCAAUAACGCCUAGGUUCUUAGCUACUCUAGCGCUACUCUGGAGAAAUUUGGAACUAUUAUUUAUAGCUGACCACUGGACA